ACUCCUCGGGAGGCAGCAGUGGGGAAUAUUGCACAAUGGGCGCAAGCCUGAUGCAGCCAUGCCGCGUGUAUGAAGAAGGCCUUCGGGUUGUAAAGUACUUUCAGCAGUGAGGAAGGUGGGUAUGUUAAUAGCAUAUUCAUUUGACGUUAGCUGCAGAAGAAGCACCGGCUAACUCCGUGCCAGCAGCCGCGGUAAUACGGAGGGUGCGAGCGUUAAUCGGAAUUACUGGGCGUAAAGCGCAUGCAGGUGGUUUGUUAAGUCAGAUGUGAAAGCCCGGGGCUCAACCUCGGAAUUGCAUUUGAAACUGGCAAACUAGAGUACUGUAGAGGGGGUAGAAUUUCAGGUGUAGCGGUGAAAUGCGUAGAGAUCUGAAGGAAUACCGGUGGCGAAGGCGGCCCCCUGGACAGAUACUGACACUCAGAUGCGAAAGCGUGGGGAGCAAACAGGAUUAGAUACCCUGGUAG
rnacentral:rRNA from 1 species